rnacentral:rRNA from 1 species
UUAAGCGACUAAGCGUACACGGUGGAUGCCCUGGCAGUCAGAGGCGAUGAAGGACGUGCUAAUCUGCGAAAAGCGUCGGUAAGGUGAUAUGAACCGUUACAGCCGGCGAUGUCCGAAUGGGGAAACCCAGUGCAAUUCGUUGCACUAUCGUUAACUGAAUACAUAGGUUAACGAGGCGAACCGGGGGAACUGAAACAUCUAAGUACCCCGAGGAAAAGAAAUCAACCGAGAUUCCCCCAGUAGCGGCGAGCGAACGGGGAGCAGCCCAGAGUCUGAAUCAGCUUGUGUGUUAGUGGAACGGUCUGGAAAGUCCGACGGUACAGGGUGAUAGUCCCGUACACCAAAAUGCACAGGCUGUGAACUCGAAGAGUAGGGCGGGACACGUGGUAUCCUGUCUGAAUAUGGGGGGACCAUCCUCCAAGGCUAAAUACUCCUGACUGACCGAUAGUGAACCAGUACCGUGAGGGAAAGGCGAAAAGAACCCCGGCGAGGGGAGUGAAAAAGAACCUGAAACCGUGUACGUACAAGCAGUGGGAGCACCUUCGGGUGUGACUGCGUACCUUUUGUAUAAUGGGUCAGCGACUUAUAUUCUGUAGCAAGGUUAACCGUAUAGGGGAGCCGCAGGGAAACCGAGUCUUAACUGGGCGUUAAGUUGCAGGGUAUAGACCCGAAACCCGGUGAUCUAGCCAUGGGCAGGUUGAAGGUUGGGUAACACUAACUGGAGGACCGAACCGACUAAUGUUGAAAAAUUAGCGGAUGACUUGUGGCUGGGGGUGAAAGGCCAAUCAAACCGGGAGAUAGCUGGUUCUCCCCGAAAGCUAUUUAGGUAGCGCCUCGUGAAUUCAUCUUCGGGGGUAGAGCACUGUUUCGGCUAGGGGGUCAUCCCGACUUACCAACCCGAUGCAAACUACGAAUACCGAAGAAUGUUAUCACGGGAGACACACGGCGGGUGCUAACGUCCGUCGUGAAGAGGGAAACAACCCAGACCGCCAGCUAAGGUCCCAAAGUCAUGGUUAAGUGGGAAACGAUGUGGGAAGGCACAGACAGCCAGGAUGUUGGCUUAGAAGCAGCCAUCAUUUAAAGAAAGCGUAAUAGCUCACUGGUCGAGUCGGCCUGCGCGGAAGAUGUAACGGGGCUAAACCAUGCACCGAAGCUGCGGCAGCGACACUAUGUGUUGUUGGGUAGGGGAGCGUUCUGUAAGCCUGCGAAGGUGUGCUGUGAGGCAUGCUGGAGGUAUCAGAAGUGCGAAUGCUGACAUAAGUAACGAUAAAGCGGGUGAAAAGCCCGCUCGCCGGAAGACCAAGGGUUCCUGUCCAACGUUAAUCGGGGCAGGGUGAGUCGACCCCUAAGGCGAGGCCGAAAGGCGUAGUCGAUGGGAAACAGGUUAAUAUUCCUGUACUUGGUGUUACUGCGAAGGGGGGACGGAGAAGGCUAUGUUAGCCGGGCGACGGUUGUCCCGGUUUAAGCAUGUAGGCUGAUUGUCCAGGCAAAUCCGGAUAAUCAAGGCUGAGGUGUGAUGACGAGGCACUACGGUGCUGAAGUAACAAAUGCCCUGCUUCCAGGAAAAGCCUCUAAGCAUCAGGUAACAUUAAAUCGUACCCCAAACCGACACAGGUGGUCAGGUAGAGAAUACCAAGGCGCUUGAGAGAACUCGGGUGAAGGAACUAGGCAAAAUGGUGCCGUAACUUCGGGAGAAGGCACGCUGGUGUGUAGGUGAAGUCCCUGCGGAUGGAGCUGAGACCAGUCGAAGAUACCAGCUGGCUGCAACUGUUUAUUAAAAACACAGCACUGUGCAAACACGAAAGUGGACGUAUACGGUGUGACGCCUGCCCGGUGCCGGAAGGUUAAUUGAUGGGGUUAUCCGUAAGGAGAAGCUCUUGAUCGAAGCCCCGGUAAACGGCGGCCGUAACUAUAACGGUCCUAAGGUAGCGAAAUUCCUUGUCGGGUAAGUUCCGACCUGCACGAAUGGCGUAAUGAUGGCCAGGCUGUCUCCACCCGAGACUCAGUGAAAUUGAACUCGCUGUGAAGAUGCAGUGUACCCGCGGCAAGACGGAAAGACCCCGUGAACCUUUACUAUAGCUUGACACUGAACAUUGAGCCUUGAUGUGUAGGAUAGGUGGGAGGCUUUGAAGCGUGGACGCCAGUCUGCGUGGAGCCAACCUUGAAAUACCACCCUUUAAUGUUUGAUGUUCUAACGUUGGCCCCUGACCGGGGUUGCGGACAGUGUCUGGUGGGUAGUUUGACUGGGGCGGUCUCCUCCCAAAGCGUAACGGAGGAGCACGAAGGUUAGCUAAUCCUGGUCGGACAUCAGGAGGUUAGUGCAAUGGCAUAAGCUAGCUUGACUGCGAGCGUGACGGCGCGAGCAGGUGCGAAAGCAGGUCAUAGUGAUCCGGUGGUUCUGAAUGGAAGGGCCAUCGCUCAACGGAUAAAAGGUACUCCGGGGAUAACAGGCUGAUACCGCCCAAGAGUUCAUAUCGACGGCGGUGUUUGGCACCUCGAUGUCGGCUCAUCACAUCCUGGGGCUGAAGUAGGUCCCAAGGGUAUGGCUGUUCGCCAUUUAAAGUGGUACGCGAGCUGGGUUUAGAACGUCGUGAGACAGUUCGGUCCCUAUCUGCCGUGGGCGCUGGAGAAUUGAGGGGGGCUGCUCCUAGUACGAGAGGACCGGAGUGGACGCAUCACUGGUGUUCGGGUUGUCAUGCCAAUGGCACUGCCCGGUAGCUAAAUGCGGAAGAGAUAAGUGCUGAAAGCAUCUAAGCACGAAACUUGCCCCGAGAUGAGUUCUCCCUGAGACUUUAAGUCUCCUGAAGGAACGUUAAAGACGAUGACGUUGAUAGGCCGGGUGUGUAAGCGCAGCGAUGCGUUGAGCUAACCGGUACUAAUGAACCGUGAGGCUUAACCUU